AGAGUUUGAUCCUGGCUCAGGAUGAACGCUGGCGGCGUGCCUAAUACAUGCAAGUCGAACGCUUCACUUCGGUGAAGAGUGGCGAACGGGUGAGUAAUACAUAAGUAACCUGGCAUCUACAGGGGGAUAACUGAUGGAAACGUCAGCUAAGACCGCAUAGGUGUAGAGAUCGCAUGAACUCUAUAUGAAAAGUGCUACGGGACUGGUAGAUGAUGGACUUAUGGCGCAUUAGCUGGUUGGUAGGGUAACGGCCUACCAAGGCGACGAUGCGUAGCCGACCUGAGAGGGUGACCGGCCACACUGGGACUGAGACACGGCCCAGACUCCUACGGGAGGCAGCAGUAGGGAAUCUUCGGCAAUGGGGGCAACCCUGACCGAGCAACGCCGCGUGAGUGAAGAAGGUUUUCGGAUCGUAAAGCUCUGUUGUAAGUCAAGAACGAGUGUGAGAGUGGAAAGUUCACACUGUGACGGUAGCUUACCAGAAAGGGACGGCUAACUACGUGCCAGCAGCCGCGGUAAUACGUAGGUCCCGAGCGUUGUCCGGAUUUAUUGGGCGUAAAGCGAGCGCAGGCGGUUUGAUAAGUCUGAAGUUAAAGGCUGUGGCUCAACCAUAGUUCGCUUUGGAAACUGUCAAACUUGAGUGCAGAAGGGGAGAGUGGAAUUCCAUGUGUAGCGGUGAAAUGCGUAGAUAUAUGGAGGAACACCGGUGGCGAAAGCGGCUCUCUGGUCUGUAACUGACGCUGAGGCUCGAAAGCGUGGGGAGCGAACAGGAUUAGAUACCCUGGUAGUCCACGCCGUAAACGAUGAGUGCUAGGUGUUGGAUCCUUUCCGGGAUUCAGUGCCGCAGCUAACGCAUUAAGCACUCCGCCUGGGGAGUACGACCGCAAGGUUGAAACUCAAAGGAAUUGACGGGGGCCCGCAC
rnacentral:rRNA from 1 species